rnacentral:rRNA from 1 species
AGUGUCAGCCGCCGCGCGGUAAUACAGAGGCCCCGAGCAUUACCCGGAAUUACUGGGCGUAAAGGGUGCGUAGGUGGUCAUAUUAGUCGUUCGUUAAAAACCCGGGCUCAACCCGGGGCAUGCGGGCGAAACGGUAUGACUCGAGAGCGUGAGAGGUACAGGGAACUCUAGGUGUAGGGGUGAAAUCCGUUGAUAUCUAGGGGAACACCGAAAGCGAAGGCACUGUACUGGCGCGUUUCUGACACUGAUAGCACGAAAGCGUGGGUAGCGAACGGGAUUAGAUACCCCGGUAGUCCACGCCCUAAACGAUGUCAACUGGCUUUCCGGAGUAUCGACCCUCUGGGAGGCGAAGCUAACGCGUUAAGUUGACCGCCUGGGUAGUACGGCCGCAAGGCUAAAACUCAAAGGAAUAGACGGGGGCUUGCACAAGCGGUGGAGCGUGUGGCUUAAUUCGUCGCUAAGCGAAGAACCUUACCAGGGCUAGAAAUCCUACUGCACGAUCUGGGAAACCAGAUAAGCCUUCGAGGGUGUAGGACAGGUGAUGCAUGGCUGUCGUCAGUUCGUGGUUUGAAUCGUUCCCUUCAGUGGGGUAACGAACGCAACCCUCGUUGCCUGUUACACGUAUCAGGCGAGACUGCCCCCUCACGGGGGAGGAAGGUGAGGAUGACGCCAAGUCAGCAUGUCCCUCUGAUGUCCUGGGCUGCACACGCGCUACAAUCGCCACUACAGCGGGGCGCAAUGGGGUAACCCGGAGCAAAUCCUUAAAAGUGGCGCCAGUUCGGAUUGAGGUCUGCAACUCGACCUCAUGAAGCCGGAAUCGCUAGUAAUCGCGGGUCAGCACACCGCGGUGAAUACGUUCUCAAGCCUUGCACACACCGCCCGUCAAAU